AACGAACGCUGGCGGCAGGCCUAACACAUGCAAGUCGAGCGAGACCUUCGGGUCUAGUGGCGGACGGGUGAGUAACGCGUGGGAACGUGCCCUUCUCUACGGAAUAGCUCCGGGAAAAUGGGACUAAUACCGGAUACGCUCUUCGGGGGAAAGAUUUAUCGGAGAAGGAUGGGCCCGCGUUGGAUUAGGUAGUUGGUAGGGUAAUGGCCUACCAAGCCGACGAUCCAUAGCUGGUUUGAGAGGAUGAUCAGCCACACUGGGACUGAGACACGGCCCAGACUCCUACGGGAGGCAGCAGUGGGGAAUCUUAGACAAUGGGGGCAACCCUGAUCUAGCCAUGCCGCGUGAGUGAUGAAGGCCUUAGGGUUGUAAAGCUCUUUCAGCUGGGAAGAUAAUGACGGUACCGGCAGAAGAAGCCCCGGCUAACUCCGUG
rnacentral:rRNA from 1 species